GAUGAACGCUGGCGGCGUGCCUAAUACAUGCAAGUCGAGCGAACAGACGAGGAGCUUGCUCCUCUGACGUUAGCGGCGGACGGGUGAGUAACACGUGGAUAACCUACCUAUAAGACUGGGAUAACUUCGGGAAACCGGAGCUAAUACCGGAUAAUAUAUUGAACCGCAUGGUUCAAUAGUGAAAGACGGUUUUGCUGUCACUUAUAGAUGGAUCCGCGCCGCAUUAGCUAGUUGGUAAGGUAACGGCUUACCAAGGCAACGAUGCGUAGCCGACCUGAGAGGGUGAUCGGCCACACUGGAACAGAGACACGGUCCAGACUCCUACGGGAGGCAGCAGUAGGGAAUCGGCCGCAAUGGGCGAAAGCCUGACGGAGCAACGCCGCGGGAGUGAUGAAGGUCUGCGGAGCGUAAAACUCUGUUAGUAGGGAAGAACAAAUGUGUAAGUAACUAUGCACGUCUUGACGGUACCUAAUCAGAAGGCCACGGCUAACCACG
rnacentral:rRNA from 1 species